rnacentral:piRNA from 1 species
UAUUGCCACACUCCCAAAAACAGAGCUGCA